rnacentral:rRNA from 1 species
UCAAACUGGGAUUAGAUACCCCACUAUUUUUAGUUGUAAAUUUAGUUUAGCUUACCAGAGCACUACGAAUAAAAAGUUUAAAACUCAAAGGGCUUGGCGGUGCUUUAGACCUCUCAGGGGAACCUGUCUCAUAAUCGACAAUCCACGUUAGAUCUGACCUUUUAUGGCAAUUCAGCUUGUAUACCGUCGUCGUCAGGUAACUUUUAAAAAUGAAAUAGUUAGCUAGAAAAUUAUAUUAACUAAAACGUCAGAUCAAGGUGCAGCUAAUGAAAGGGGGAGGAUGGGUUACAAUUACAAAUUUGUAAUUACGGAUUAAUGUUUUAAAAGUAUUUUUAAGGAGGACUUGAAAGUA